AGGAGUUUGGAUCCCUGGCUCAGGACGAACGCUGGCGGCGUGCUUAACACAUGCAAGUCGAACGGGGCCCAACUGGUGGCAACACCAGGGAAGGCCAAGUGGCGAACGGGUGCGUAACACGUGAGCAACCCACCCCGAAGACCGGGAUAACACCGGGAAACCGGUGCUAAUACCGGAUGACGUCACCGGGUCGCAUGGCCUGGUGACGAAAGGAUUCCGCUUCGGGACGGGCUCGCGGCCUAUCAGCUUGUUGGCGGGGUAACGGCCACCAAGGCUACGACGGGUAGCUGGUCUGAGAGGACGAUCAGCCACACUGGGACUGAGACACGGCCCAGACUCCUACGGGAGGCAGCAGUGGGGAAUCUUGCGCAAUGGGCGAAAGCCUGACGCAGCAACGCCGCGUGCGGGAAGACGGCCUUAGGGUUGUAAACCGCUUUCAGCAGGGACGAAAAUGACGGUACCUGCAGAAGAAGCUCCGGCUAACUACGUGCCAGCAGCCGCGGUAAUACGUAGGGAGCGAGCGUUGUCCGGAUUUAUUGGGCGUAAAGAGCUCGUAGGCGGUUUGGCAAGUCGGAUGUGAAAGCUCCGGGCUCAACCCGGAGAUGCCACUCGAUACUGCCAUGACUUGAGUCCGGUAGGGGGGUGUGGAAUUCCCAGUGUAGCGGUGAAAUGCGCAGGAUCUUGGGAGGAACACCGAUGGCGAAGGCAGUCACCC
rnacentral:rRNA from 1 species